AACGAACGCUGGCGGCAUGCCUAACACAUGCAAGUCGAACGAGACCUUCGGGUCUUGUGGCGCACGGGUGCGUAACGCGUGGGAACCUGCCCUUAGGUUCGGCAUAACUCCCCGACAGGGGGUGCUAAUACCGGAUAAUGUCUUCGGACCAAAGAUUUAUCGCCUUUGGAUGGGCCCGCGUUGGAUUAGCUAGUUGGUAGGGUAAAAGCCUACCAAGGCGACGAUCCAUAGCUGGUCUGAGAGGAUGAUCAGCCACACUGGGACUGAGACACGGCCCAGACUCCUACGGGAGGCAGCAGUGGGGAAUAUUGGACAAUGGGCGAAAGCCUGAUCCAGCAAUGCCGCGUGAGUGAUGAAGGCCUGAGGGUUGUAAAGCUCUUUUACCCGGGAUGAUAAUGACAGUACCGGGAGAAUAAGCCCCGGCUAACUCCGUG
rnacentral:rRNA from 1 species